rnacentral:rRNA from 1 species
AAUAUUGGACAAGGGUCGCAAGCCUGAUCCAGCCAUGCCUCGUGUGUGAAGAAGGUCUUCGUAUUGUAAAGCACUUUAUGUUGGGAGAAAGGGUUGUAGACUAAUAUUCUGCAAUUUUGACGUUACCAAAAGAAUAAGUACAGGCUAACCUCGUGCGAGCAGCCGCGGUAAUACGAAGGGUGCAAGCGUUAAUCGGAAUUACUGGGCGUAAAGCGCGCGUAGGUGGUUCGUUAAGUUGGAAGUGAAAGCCCCGGGCUCAACCUGGGAAUUGCUUUCAAAACUGGCGAGCUAGAGUACGGUAGAGGGUGGUGGAAUUUCCUGUGUAGCGGUGAAAUGCGUAGAUAUAGGAAGGAACAUCAGUGGCGAAGGCGACCACCUGGACUGAUACUGACACUGAGGUGCGAAAGCGUGGGGAGCAAACAGG